UGGGGAAUAUUGGACAAUGGGGGCAACCCUGAUCCAGCAAUGCCGCGUGUGUGAAGAAGGCCUGCGGGUUGUAAAGCACUUUCAGUAGAGAAGAAAAGCUUAGGGUUAAUAACCCUGAGUCUUGACGUAACCUACAGAAGAAGCACCGGCUAACUCCGUGCCAGCAGCCGCGGUAAUACGGAGGGGGCUAGCGUUGUUCGGAAUUACUGGGCGUAAAGGGCGUGUAGGCGGCUUGUCGAGUCAGGCGUGAAAGCCCCGGGCUUAACCUGGGAACUGCGUUUGAUACUGGCAGGCUAGAGGUUGGAAGAGGAGAGUGGAAUUCCCAGUGUAGAGGUGAGAUUCGUAGAUAUUGGGAAGAACACCAGUGGCGAAGGCGGCUCUCUGGUCCACACCUGACGCUGAGGCGCGAAAGCGUGGGGAGCAAACAGGAUUAGAUACCCCUGUAGUCC
rnacentral:rRNA from 1 species